rnacentral:rRNA from 1 species
AACGAACGCUGGCGGCAGGCUUAACACAUGCAAGUCGAACGCGUGUAGCAAUACACGAGUGGCGCACGGGUGAGUAACGCGUGGAUAUCUGCCUUUUGGUUCGGAAUAACCCCGGGAAACUGGGGCUAAUACCGGAUGGUUCCUUCGGGAAAAAGAUUUAUCGCCAAAAGAUGAGUCCGCGUCCGAUUAGCUAGUUGGUGAGGUAAUGGCUCACCAAGGCGACGAUCGGUAGCUGGUCUGAGAGGACGAUCAGCCACACUGGGACUGAGACACGGCCCAGACUCCUACGGGAGGCAGCAGUGGGGAAUAUUGGACAAUGGGGGCAACCCUGAUCCAGCCAUGCCGCGUGAGUGAUGAAGGCCUUCGGGUUGUAAAGCUCUUUUGGCGGGGACGAUGAUGACGGUACCCGCAGAAUAAGCCCCGGCUAACUUCGUGCCAGCAGCCGCCGUAA